rnacentral:misc_RNA from 1 species
GAUGAAGAACGCAGCGAAAUGCGAUAAGUAAUGUGAAUUGCAGAAUUCAGUGAAUCAUCGAAUCUUUGAACGCAUCUUGCGCUACUUGGUAUUCUGAGGAGCAUGCCUGUUUGAGUGUCAUUAAAUUCUCAACUACACUGACUUUGAAUUGGUGUGGCUUGGAUUUGGGGGGAAAAUUGUUGUGGGCUUUUUGUAUAGUCUGCUCCCCUGAAAUUGAUUAGCGGUACCUUUGUGGAACUGUCUACAGGUGUGAUAAUUAUCUACAUCUUAGACAUCUGCUGGAAUGCUGCUUUCUAAACCUUACUUGUAUUGACAAUCUUGACCUCAAAUCAGGUAGGACUACCCGCUGAACUUAAGCAUAUCAAUAAGCGGAGGA